GACGAACGCUGGCGGCGUGCUUAACACAUGCAAGUCGAACGGUGAAGCGAGUGCUUGCACUCGUGGAUCAGUGGCGAACGGGUGAGUAACACGUGAGUAACCUGCCCAUCACUCUGGGAUAAGCACUGGAAACGGUGUCUAAUACUGGAUACGACCAACCCCUGCAUGGGGUGUUUGUGGAAAGAUUUAUCGGUGGUGGAUGGACUCGCGGCCUAUCAGCUUGUUGGCGGGGUAAUGGCCCACCAAGGCGACGACGGGUAGCCGGCCUGAGAGGGUGACCGGCCACACUGGGACUGAGACACGGCCCAGACUCCUACGGGAGGCAGCAGUGGGGAAUAUUGCACAAUGGGCGAAAGCCUGAUGCAGCGACGCCGCGUGAGGGAUGACGGCCUUCGGGUUGUAAACCUCUUUCAGCAGGGAAGAAGCGAAAGUGACGGUACCUGCAGAAGAAGCACCGGCUAACUACGUG
rnacentral:rRNA from 1 species